rnacentral:rRNA from 1 species
UACGAGGGGGGGCAAGCGUUGUCCGGAUUUACUGGGCGUAAAGGGCGCGCAGGCGGUUCUGUUUGUCGAGUGUGAAAGCCCCGGGCUCAACCUGGGAACUGCGCUCGAAACGGCGGAACUAGAGUUCGGGAGAGGAGAGUGGAAUUCCCAGUGUAGAGGUGAAAUGCGUAGAUAUCGGGAGGAACACCUGUGGCGAAGGCAGAUCUCUGGGCCGUAACUGACGCUGAGGAGCGGAAAGCAUGGGGAGCGAACAGG